GCGAUAGCUCAAGCCAGGGAAUCAAGGUCUCAUCAAGGUCCGAAAACAAAUGAGAGACUGAACCACAUGAUUGAGAAUCAUGUAUAAUGGUGACGUCGUUAUUCUCAAGGUUGCUUCUAUGGAUAACAUAUAGAUCUCCAUUGUCUAGGCCUACUACUCAGCCAUUUAUGAAAUGACUACAGAAGAGGUAUCAUAACUGAUGACCAAGCUGAUUGGCUCU
rnacentral:lncRNA from 1 species